rnacentral:rRNA from 1 species
GGUUGAUCCUGCCAGUAGUCAUAUGCUUGUCCCAAAGAUUAAGCCAUGCAUGUCCAAGUAUAAACCUUUAUACGGUGAAACUGCGAAUGGCUCAUUAUAUCAGUUAUAAUUUAUUUGAUGGUGACUUUACUACUUGGAUAACCGUGGUAAUUCUAGAGCUAAUACAUGCAAAGAGCCCGACUUUUGGAAGGGCGGUAUUUAUUAGAUAAAAACCGGCGCCAGCAAUGGCAGAUGGUGAGUCAUAAUAACUGCGCGGAUCGCAUGGCCAUGCGCCGGCGACGCUUCAUUCAAA